AGCGGAGCCAAUAGGAAGCACUGGGCGGGGCCUUCGGGCGGGAGUAGCCAGCGGCGGCGGCGGGCGGAAGCGCAUCGGGGAUGGACCCUCCAGCUCGUCCUUCUGUCUCCCGCCCAAGGACUCGAGCCCGCCUGCCGCCGCUGCCGAAGGCGCUGCCCACUCUCGGCUUCGAAGAGGAGCUGUACGACUGCCUGGACUACUACUACCUGCGUGACUUCCCGGCCUCUGGGGCUGGACGCAGCAAGGGCCGGACGCGGCGAGAGCAGCAGCUACGCACCAACUACACGGUGCCCGGCGGGCACGAGCGCAAGGUGGCGCAGAUACUGCUCAACGGGCAGCGCAAGCGGCGCCAACGCCAGCUGCAACCGCGGCCGCGCACACGCCUCGCCUGAGCACUCGCCACGCCUGAGCGGGAACCUGAGACAGGAGGAUCUUGAGUUGGAGUCCAGCCCUGGGCAUUAUUGAAACCUGAAAGGCCUGUUAAAAAGUCUUUCCCAGCUGUAACCGAGGUCCUCCGUGUUGGUCGACUGGACUUUUUGACAGGAUUUUAAGUUCACUGCUCUAGUCUUUUUUCCUCACUAAUUAAUUAUUAAGUAAGUAGUUUCCUAGCGGAUAUGCCUUCUUAAGGUUUUUCAAUUAAAAGAGAACAGCAAGAAUGUAUUUUAACUCUUCUGGCUUUCUCUCCCUCCGCUCCUCCACGCCCAGUUACUGUGGAGGUAACUGGUCUCCAGUUCACAACUAUCUGGGCUCUGACAUAUAAAGAGGAGAUCAAAGCUCAGGAGGUAACUGGUUUGCUAAAGUGAUUGCAGCAAAAAGCUUGAGGACCUGAGUUCGAGCCUUAAAAGCCAUGUUUUUGAAAAGCUGGGUGUAAUAGCCCACACUUAAAAUUCCACCCUUUGGGAGCUAGAGGCAGAUUCCUGAGGCACAGUGGCUAGCCAGCAUAGCCAAAUUUAUGUGUUUUGGGCCUUUAAAAAAAGGAUAGAUGUGUCCUAGGCAAUGUCUAUAUGGAUAUUGGCCUCUACAUGGGCACCCUCAUGCACUUGAAUGCGGGGGUCGGUGAGGGGAGGAGAUGAAGGGGGGCACAGGCACACACAAACCACCACCACCACCAUGAAAUGGGGAGAUAGGAUAUUAUACAAGAAAGACUUCUACCCAAAUGUCAUUUCUGAAACUUUGGUUUUUGUUUUGGCUUAGGGAAGGGAAUGAGACAGGGUCUCUCUAUAUAACUAUAGCUGUCCUAAAACUUCUAUUAAACUGGCCUGGCCAAGAACU